GCCCGACUAGCUCAUCGGUAGAGCGCCUCACUAGUAUAUCUUCUUUACACGGAAAAUAUCACAUUGAAAUGAGGAGGCAACAGGUUCGAUUCCUGUGUUGGGCA